rnacentral:rRNA from 1 species
GACAGAGGAUGCAAGCGUUAUCCGGAAUGAUUGGGCGUAAAGCGUCUGUAGGUGGCUUUUUAAGUCCGCCGUCAAAUCCCAGGGCUCAACCCUGGACAGGCGGUGGAAACUACCAAGCUGGAGUACGGUAGGGGCAGAGGGAAUUUCCGGUGGAGCGGUGAAAUGCGUAGAUAUCGUUUGGAACGCCGAUGGUGAAAACAGGUUGCUGGGGCUGCGCUGACGCUGAGACACGAAAGCCAGGGGAGCGAACGGG